rnacentral:rRNA from 1 species
UACGUAGGUGGCAAGCGUUGUCCGGAAUUACUGGGUGUAAAGGGAGCGCAGACGGGAAGCCAAGUCAGCUGUGAAAACUACGGGCUUAACUUGUAGACUGCAGUUGAAACUGGUUUUCUUGAGUGAAGUAGAGGUUGGCGGAAUUCCGAGUGUAGCGGUGAAAUGCGUAGAUAUUCGGAGGAACACCGGUGGCGAAGGCGGCCAACUGGGCUUUAACUGACGCUGAGGCUCGAAAGUGUGGGGAGCAAACAGG